rnacentral:sRNA from 2 species
AAUAUUAAAUCGCUUAAUUUUUCAAUUGAAAAAGCGGGGGAACCAACAACGUGGUUGAAGCGAAAGCUUGAAUCGCAAGGGGUGAAUCCGGUGCAUCUCGCACUGGUAGGGCAGCUCACUGGCCCGAAUCCGACAGCUAACUCCGUAAGCGAACGUGAGGAGAGAU